CCGGAGACUAUGUGUCCACUUUUCAUUUCCGUGUCAAAGAAUGGCAUAUCUUGUUUCAAAACUGAGUUGAGAUACAAAGAUCGAAUGCGAGCUGCCUGUCUCUCCCCAGUCAUGGUCCAGCAUGAUAUCUCUGGUUUGCAGAUUGAUACACAAGCAAAAGGGUACCUUGUUGACUCGCGGAAGGAUGGUGUCGGGGGUGGCACCCCCAAAGGCAUCGAUCAUCCGCCCAAAGAUGAUCGUCAUGACCACCUGUGACAUACCACUUCCAACCGCGGCAACCGUGCCGACCAGCAUCAGCACCAUGUCGGUAACAUCUGCGUUCUUGAACAUGUCAUGGAACGGCGCCUUGCCACCCUUGGUCAUCUUCUUCCUGCCUUUCUCCUCCCCUGCUUCUUCACCCUUCCCCAUGGUAUGCCUACCAGGCAACUGACUAGCUGUCUGUUUAUUGCUCUGGCUGUAAUGUAGAGAGUAGCGUAGCUUCUGCUUUUAUAGUGUCGUUGUCUUGUUAGUUAGCAGUUAACUGCAUUCACAAGAGUAACCAUAAAUGAGAUGUGGUUAAUAGUUGAGUAACAAAAGAAAUAACACAGAUAAUGUGUCCACAAGGUGUGAGGACAACAUAGAGACAAAUAGGAUAAUAAAACCAGCCAGAACAGCAACAUAUGGUUAGCGCUCACCCUUCACAGUGCACUCCUGCACAGAUGCGCUUAUAUCCUUCUGUUUGAAUAUUGCAUCAUCAUGCUUUUUCCUAUUUUUGUUGGAUUUUCCGGUGAACAUUAAACUCAAAAGGUGUUUGAAGAAAGUUUGUCAACAAUUUUGUUUUCAUCUUCAUUAUUCUUUUGAUUUAUUGUUUGAUGGAUUUUCUCAUUUUGUUACUCUUAACAUAGAACAGGUUGAAUUAUACACAAUAAAGAAGUUUCCAAAACUUCCAGGGCUGGAGCAAUUUCUGUCCCAAUCCAUAGUAGUCAGUAGAGCACUCGGAUGAUGUUUUGUGAGUGCACCUCUUAUUAGUGUAUACAUCUUUUUCAUGACGGGUGAAAGUGAUCUUGGCUGUGGCUGAAAGUGAUGUUGGUUGUUUAGCGGACAUGUGAAAGCCGGCUAUGACCAAAUCCAUGAUGACAGCUGCUGCAAUCUGAGAUCUUCACCGGGAAAGCAACAUCCCUCCAGGAACUCUUCUUCCUUGAGACCUUGACAGUUGACAGUGGCCUGAAGGAAAUUUUACUGCUAAUUUUAAUAUGGCCAGCUGUUUUAUUACUAACUGUUUACAUCAAAUCAUGACUAGGACAUUUGGCUGCUUCUGCCAGAUUUACUUGAUUUUUUCUUGAACAUUUUUCUAAUAUUAGUACCUCUCGUCGUCUGUGCCUGGCAGGAUUUACGAAUGUUCAGAUCUGGAAAUAGUUCGUCGCACGUUCGCAAUCUUGCAGCCGCCGGAGUAAUCCAAAUGGCAGAGCCCAGGAUCUAUGUUUUGAAUGGUUGGAGCAUCACCUCUUUUUGUGUCCUACUGCGUGUUGUCGUAUGUGAGAACGUCACCCAAAUGGCAUGGCCUGUUCUUCUUCUGCAGCUUAUUAUGCAGAUUCUGGCCGGCGUAAUGUGUACGACCUACGCCCCUUUGGCGAUGAUAUGUACAGUGGCUGAUAGCGCAGUCUUCCCUAUUUAGAAACAUGUAAUGCAUGCAUACAAAAUUAUGUGGGGAUUAAAGUUUAAUUGGAGCAGCUUGUGGAUAAGAGGUGCAUCUAAUAAAAUUUAGAGAAAACCUUCCGAUCAGCUUAUCAGUUGAGAAAACAAAAACCUUUUUCUUUGGGGUCAGUCUCUUCCAUGUUAGGCGCGUAUUAAAAAAUGAUUUUUAUUACUCCCUCUGACACAUUAUUUGCCACUAAAAUGGAUGUAUGUACAAUUAAAGUAUGUCUAGAUACAUCUAUUGGUAGUAAUAUAAAUCGGAGGGAGUAUUUUCAAAAGUUCAACUGAAAAUGAUCUUUCUUACGGAGUAUUUUUUUAAUCAAAAUCUAACCUUUCUGCUCAAUGUCAUCCUCUCCAGCCCAAAAAAGUAGAGGCGUGAGACUUCAGAUUUGUUUUAUGACGGCAGACUAUUGUGUUUGACUGUUUGAAUCGUGGAAUGCGAGUUGAGCCUGGCCCAGUUGAGCCCAAGGGUUGGGCCGCACGCCUGCACCUCAUCAGCCAAAAAUCCCCGACCGCGCCGCCGCCGGGCGCCCAUCUCUACCGUAGCUCGCCGGCGCAACUUCGCCGACCCCGUGCCACAGGAUAGCCCUGCGUACGAUCUAUCCCAUCAGCAAGCGCAGGCCUCGCCCUCCGGUUCGCGUUCGCCGCGAACGCGACGCCGCACUGGAUGGCGCGCCGCCGGUGUAGUGCCACGGAGGACCUGCUCCCGGAGGAAUGCAGCCGGAGCCUGGCGUCGCACAUGGCCUGGCUAGCUGGAUCCUUUACGGCCGAGCCGCUGCCUGCCCGACGAGUCCAUGGGGUUGCAUUUUUGUCACGCCGCAGCCGUCCAUCUCCGGCGUCCGCGCCAGGCUUGCAGAUUCAUGAAGAAUCAGAAUGGUACCUUGUUUACUCGGGGAAGGAUGGUGCCGGGGGUUGCGCCCCCAAAGGCAUCGACCACCUGCCCGAAGAUGAUGGCCAUGAUCACCUGUGACAUGCCGCUCGCAAGUGCGCCGAGUGUGCCAACCAGCAUCAGCACCACGUCCAUGGCGUCCGCGUUCCUGAAAAGGUCAUGGAACGGCGCCUUGCCACCCUUGGCCAUCUUUUUCGAGCCAUUCUCCUCGUCUGCUCCGCUCAUCACUCCGUCAGCGGCUCUUGCACUGGUUGUGUCUACCAUGCUAUCCCUACCUGGUGCUUGGCUAACUGUCGCCUUAUUACUUAGCAGGCAGCUGCAUAGUCGAGUAACAAAAGGAAAAUGGCAUAGAUAAUGUGUCAACAGGAUGUGUGGACAACCUAGAGACGACCACUAUGAUAAGUCCAGGUCCGGCAAUUAGCAUGACCGAAUGCAUGGUGAUAGCCACUAGAAUCUGAGAUCUUUUUGACCGUGGGUUGGAAAUUUGGAAGCACCGUCCCUUGGGGACUCUUAUUGGUUGACUGCAGACUGGAGACAUUUUGAAGCUAAUGUAAUACGCCCAGUUGUCUUCAGCAGCUCUUUACGUCAGCUGAUGGCUAAGACAUUUCGGCAGAGUUUGCCCAAACAUAAUCGCAGGUUAUAUCUGGUCCGUGAUUUCCGGUGGUAUUUCUCGUGCGCUUGAAGUUGCCGGUUCGCUAGCUGCAAGCCAGAGCUCUUGCAAAAUUUCUAUGCUGAAGGAUAUUACUUUUCAUCGAGGUUCUAGAUGCUGAGAUAUGUUAAGGACUGGGAGGUGCAAAUCUACGAGCGGUAGGACUGGCAGAUCCUGGUUUAUAUGCACUGCUGAAUGUUGAUCUUCAUCGUUCCUCAGUCUUAUCCUGAGGAAUUUAAAGUGGAAGUCAUUUUCAU